UACGAAGGGGGCUAGCGUUGCUCGGAAUCACUGGGCGUAAAGCGCACGUAGGCGGGUCGCUAAGUCGGGGGUGAAAUCCUGGAGCUCAACUCCAGAACUGCCUUCGAUACUGGCGAUCUUGGAGUCCGGGAGAGGUGAGUGGAACUCCGAGUGUAGAGGUGAAAUUCGUAGAUAUUCGGAAGAACACCAGUGGCGAAGGCGGCUCACUGGCCCGGUACUGACGCUGAGGUGCGAAAGCGUGGGGAGCAAACAGG
rnacentral:rRNA from 1 species